CUCCACGUCAGCUGAUUCAGCUCUUUCCCCGUUUAUCCGCCUCUUUUCUCGUAGUCUGAUACUCUCUCCAGUCUACCCAUGGAGAAACUGAGAGUGCUGGUGAUCGAGAUCGCUUACUCUCGGAACCACACGAAGCUCUCUCCACUCCAACGCUCUCUCAUCCCAGUCCUCUCAUUCGCCUCAUCUCUCUACAGACUUGCUCUGUCUCUCCGCCACUAUCUCUACCACUUGGGCAUCUUCCGCAAGCACAGGUUGCCGGUGCCUGUUAUUAGUGUCGGGAAUUUGACUUGGGGAGGCAAUGGGAAGACACCCAUGGUGGAGUUCAUUGCUCGCUGGUUAGUUGACUCUGGAAUUUCACCUCUCAUUCUCACUCGGGGUUAUGCUGGUGGGGAUGAAGCUAGAAUGCUUGGAAGGCAUCUACUCGGGGGACCUGCAAAGAUUGGUGUGGGCGCAAACCGGGCAGCUGUUGCUGCUGCUUAUUUUGAAAAAUAUGGUUACGUUGAUCCUCGUAGUAGUACAUCCUAUCAGAGACUUCGCCUCAACAAAGUGGAAAGUCAUCUUAAUUCAGAAAAAGUUGGUGCUGUAAUUCUAGAUGAUGGAAUGCAGCACUGGAGCUUGCACCAUGAUCUGGAGGUCGUAAUGGUCAAUGGAUUAGUGCUGUGGGGCUGCUGUCAUUUACUCCCACUUGGACCCUUAAGGGAGCCAUUGACUGCGCUCAAACGGGCUGAUGUUGCUGUCAUCCAUCAUGCUGACAUGGUUUCAGAACAAGGUCUCAAAGAUGCAGAGCUUAUGAUUCGAGAAGUUAAAGAAUCCCUCCCUAUUUUCUACACUAGAAUGACUCCCUUGAACUUUUUUGAAGUGUCAAAUAUUAAUUCCAAACUACCCCUGGGAGCUUUGUGUAAUGCCAUCAUAUUAUGUGUGUCUGCCAUUGGUUCUGCAAAUGCUUUUGUAAAUGCGAUAGAGAAGAUAGGAGCAUCUUUUGUUGAUAGACUCAACUUCAGUGACCAUCACAUCUUUCAAGCCAGGGAUGUUGACCUGAUCAGAAGGAGACUUGAAGAACUUGAGGAUAAGUUUGGUUCCAAGCCAGUUGUCGUAGUAACAGAAAAGGAUUAUGAUCGAGACGCUGAGAUUCUUAAGGGCUUAUAUCCUUUCAAAGUAUUGGUGCUUUGUUCUGCAUUGCAAUUUCUGUCUCAGAAAGGAUGCACGGAGAAGGGAUUCAAAAAGUUGUUGGAGGAAUCACUAAGGGUAAAAUUACGUGGUCCAAACUAGAGUUCAGCUACAGUGAUUCAAAUCAAGGGACAGUUUUCUAGCAUGAUUGGAUGUUUUUAUGAAACUCAAAGCCUAAGCGAACUGUGUAAAGCAGCCAUUGCUUGAAGAUGUAUUAAAGUUGAGAACUCACAGUCUUAAAGCCUUCUGGAUCAACGAAAGAAGUGAUUUUGGUGUUGAUUUGAGGAAUUGGACCUGGUGGUAGAAUUAUUUGUCCUCCGAGUUCUUUGGCAACCAGUUUAACAGCUGCAGCACUCUUGUAUACAUUAUCGGUACCAAUAGCAAGCUGGGGAUGGAAAGAAGUCUCAUUCUCGUCAGAAAAUAGCUAUUUUAGUGAACAUGAAAAACAAAGCUCAAUGAAUAAAAUAGAAUAUAGCACACCUCAGUA